UUAUGUGGAUGAUGAUGAUGAUGAUGAUGAUGAUGAUGAUGAUCAUCAUCAUCAUCAUCAUCAUCAUCAUUAUUAUUA
rnacentral:pre_miRNA from 1 species